ACUCUUUUUGUUUUUCUUAUCUCUCUCUUAAGCUCCCCUCUGAAAUUCUCAUAGAUCUAAUCUUAUCUCUCACAUGUCAAAGACUAAUCAUAACCACAUCUGAAAAUCAAAACCCAUGUAUCAGAUCUAAGAGAAAAACCCUCUUUUAUAACCAAAAACAAACCCUCAUCUCACUUCAGCUCAUUCGUUUUUUGUACGAGAAGCCUGCAUAUCCAUACAACUCUCAUAACCGAAUCAAGCCUGAUUUCAAAACCUAAUCCUCACUGCAUGUUUGAAUCAAAACCCAACUAAGAAUCAGAAUUUAUAUCCCCUAAUUUUGUACCUAGAUUUAGUCAUUUUUUUCUCCUGAAAUCAAACAAACCCUCGUCUCAAAUUCAACUGAAUUUGAGAGUACAAGAAAAAGAUUUCAUCAGUUUCUCUGGAGGAGUGACAUGCAUCUUCAAGUAAGGUUCCGCAGCUCGUACCAUGACAAAUGAUGGAAUUCCAUAGAAGCUUGCCAGCCAAUUUCACUUUCCUUGAAUAAACCAUACUUUUCACCCAUUCUGGGGAGUCACUGGGUUCAGAUAAACUGAUAAGGUAAGAAGGAGAUUAACACGAAGCUACAUUGCAAUCUCUAGAUCAGAUAAGCAGAAUAAUUUUGCUCCAUUGUAUAUUUUAGUCGAUAUGGUCCAUGAGGUGCCCCCUAGUUCGUACAUCACCAUUCUUGAAACUAUCAGGAUAUGUAAAGCACCCCUGUAACCUUGGGCAUGCCAUGAACAUUUAAAAGUUGGGCGGAACUUGGAAUGCUUCCUGAAAUUGAUUAAUAAAGGCAUGUUAAUUAAUUAGCUUCUUCGAAGAUAUAUUGAACAUUCUUAGUCGACUGUCCUACACUUGUGUGCAUAUCACAGAAGUGAAAGGUUAAGAGGCAAAGGCAAGGGACAAUGGAAGAAGCCAUGACCCGCAUCGGGAUACUGUACUUGCUUAAUCUAAUGGCAAAGAUGGUCGACGUCUUCUAGUCUAGUACUAUAAUGGAAGCCGAUUGGAGCAUUUGUAGAUUCUUGGGAUUGUGUCUAUGUUUCCAGCUAGUUCUAUUUUUGUUAUAACUUCGAACUUCAGACCUUGAGAACUUCAUGAUGAAUCUGUUUACUUUCAAAAACUAAGAGCCAAUUCCAUGUACAUGUCGCAGAGGAGGUUACCUCGAUUUUCAUGACGAGGUAUCCUCCAAGGACAAUGUCUUUUACAGGUAACAGCUCAAAAUGUAUAUAUACCAGUUUUAAUUUGGUGACGUAUGAUUGUUGUU